GUCACGCGGAGCCGCAGCCAUGAAGGCGCAGCGGCGGCGGCGCGGGAGAGCUGAGCGCGAGACCUGCUGAGAGAGCGGAGCCGCUGCUCGCGCGCUGCACACUAGCCGAAUGUUCGCACAUUGACGCCCAGGAGUCCAGCGUCGAGGUCUGAAUCUGAGCCUGUCACUUCCCCUGUGGUUGGAAAAAAAAGGAUGGUUGGCCGGAGGGGUUGGCUGUUAU